AGAAGGACGACUCGUUUUCGAAUAUUUAAUCAAAUAGGGCGAGUUGAUGUUCGCCUUUUAAUAUCUAACCAAAUAGGGCGAAAGUAAAGAAUUCGCCCUCUUUGAUUAAAAUUAGAUGACGAGUGGUUAAAUUUCACCCUCCUUAAUCAUACUUUGUUCGAUCUGCAGCAACUAGCAAUCCUCCCCCCUAAAUGAUACGGAGUACACUCUAAAGAUUUUCUUUCGUUUUCCCCCAAAAUCCUUUGCAGAGCUCGACCUAUUGGAUUCGUAGCUCUAUUCAAAUUUCUCUCUCUAUCCUAAAUCGCCAACCAAAAACCUUCACAAGUUAUCCAGUAAACCAUGAUUUAAUCGAAAACUGGUCUAAUUGCUCAACUCGUUCGCUGCUCAGUUCGUAAGCUUAAUGAUUUGUUCGAAUAUUGCUCGAUUAUGUUGAAAUUAGGUCAAAUUCCGACUCACUGGUAUAUUCUAUUCUGUUUCAUUAUUUUUUUCAAUUAAUUUUGUGUUUUUUGCUGGUAGAAUUUCGAUUUUGUUGGUAGAUAUCUUAUACAUAUUCUUUUCUCUUGGAUCUCAAUGUCUUUCUAUGAUUUGAUUGAAACAUCUAUUGAAGGUUUUGUUGAAUAUUAUGUGUUUUAAUGGUUUAGUUCAACAAAUUGUGGUUUCUGCUGGCUUUUUAUUUUUUAUUGUUGUCUUUGCAAUUGGCGAUAGAUUACUGAACUCGAUUUUUAUGAUUUUGUGUUUGGGGUGAUUUCAGGUUCGAUAAUUGCGACUUUCAGUAAUAAUUUCUCUCUUAUUUUUCUAAAGUUUUAUUUAUCAGAUGUUUUUGUGAAUUUAUACUGCCUUUUUAAUUGUGCCUUGUUCCCUGAUAUAGUUUGUGUUUAUACGAAUUUUGAAUUUUUAAAGUGUUGCAUCAAUAAUUCAGUAAUUGUUUUAAUGUCCUGUAUAUUAGUUGGGUUUAACUGCAAAAAACAAAAAAAAAAAAUUGAGUGUUUAUCCCAAAAUCUAUUUUAUGUUUGAGAUGAUUUGGUGGAACAACGAGAUGAUAAGUUUUUGGAUUGUUUUUAAAGGCUCUGUUUUGACUGGGUUAAACAUGUGCUAGGUUGAUUAGGCUGAAUUAUAGUUUUUAUAAGCAUGUACUUAUAAACUAGGGUCUCAUUGGUUAGUUUAGAGAAGUUUGUUGAUGCAAAAAGGUGUCUAGACUAUAGAUUGCUUCUGGCAUAUUAGACGAGAAUGAAAAGUUGAAGCCCUUAGAAGUCUUUGAGGCUUGUAUAGAGAUAUCUAUGCAAUACGAGACAGUAAAUGAAUUUGAAACUGCAAAAUCUUUGCGGAGUUCAAAUUCAUUCUCAUACAUCGGCGUUCUUCCCAUCAUCAGGCUGUAAGAACCGAACAUCUUAUCCAGCUGGUAAAAGUGAGGAGACUGCAGCCGUAGUUGAUAUGAAUGUUGAAUUUUUAUAAUGUUGUUGUGUUGCAUCUAUAAUUGAAUGUGAUCGAAUUAAUAUCUUAUUACAUAUUUGUUGUAAUUUCUAUCUGGAUUCAGUUUUUUUGGUGAAUUUCUAUAUGAUUUUGAUGUUACAUUGCCUUCAUGUGUGAGACUAAUGGGAAGCAUAUAGCUUAUCUUCUAUCAAUACUAAGGAUAGUUAGGAACUCUUUGGUUACCAAUUCACUUGUUAACUAUUACUUUUGGGUGUGAUUUACUUCUUGAGCUUGCAAGAAAUUGUUUGUAAGAGAUUAGAAAUGCCAAAUUGAGCAAAUUGUCAGGCUUGUGUAUUAAGAAAGGAGUGAAAUUAAUAUAACAAAGUGCAAUACAAAUUCAUAGAUUUUGAUAUUUUCUUCUUUAUGUGAUUUAUCAUUUAAAUUAGAGCGAGUAUAAGCAUAUUACUUGAGCUUGUAGACUUGUGUAACUGGCUAUAUCAGACAUAUUGUGGUUUAGUCGACUGGGGUUAUAGUGUAGUUAUUUCUUUGAUUCCUAGUCUUUUUCUCUGUAAUGUUUUCUGAUUCUUAGUUUCAUACAUGUUUUUUCAAUUACUUAGCAAUUAGUCUAGACAUUCUUAUAAUGAAAUUUGAAUUAGGGAAGGAUGAUAAAGGCAUAAAGUAAUACAAGAAAAGCCUGAUUAUAUGUUUGUGGAGCAGCAUAGAGAUUACAGGGCAGAUUGAUGUGCAAGAGGGAAUGAGAAAUAAUAUCAAUUGGAUAUAGACGAGAGUAUUGCAAGACGGAAGGAAAAGAGUGAUGUACGUGAACUUAGACGUGUUUAUAAUGGAUAUAAAGAUUAUAUCAUCAGACACACUGGAACUGACGAUUUUACCAACAGAGAUAAGUUAACAAAUGCACGAGCCAUUUCUUCUGUUCUGUAUGAAGUAUUAGUUGCAGUUACAAGUGCAACUGGCCAUCAGCUCCACGGUGAUAGAGGUUCAAACUAUGUCACAUACAAUAUCUUGCCACUGGGUAAUGAUGGUGUUCACCAACCUAUCAUGCAACUCCCUGAUCGAGAUCAAGGUUGCUGUAGCAGCUAUACGCAAUAUUCGUGGUUUACCUUUCAUGGAAGAAUUUAAGAAGCGCAAACCUCUAAGGGCUCCUUUUGACAUAUUUGACUGGCUUGGUUGUCUUUGGGUUUCAGACAGGAAGUGUUGCCAACCAGAGGGAGAUUAGAUGAUUGGAUGUCGGAUUCAUCCUCAGGCAAAUCUUUUCAGGUUCAGUUUUUGGAGCAUCUUAGAGAUUACAGGGCAGAUUGAUGUGCCCACAAUUCCUCUAUCCAUUGCUUUGCAUAUGCUAUAGAUUAGAUGAUUGGAUGUCGGAUUCAUCCUCCGGUAAUUUAUUGUUUAUAGGCUCUAAAACCUGCAAUUUUAUUCCGAUGUUUGUGAUAAUUGUUGUUAAGUACUUGUAGGAAACAAUAAUGUUUGUCCAGAAAACUGUUGGAAUUGUUUAUGAUUCUACUAAAUUCGAACCCCCGAUUCAAGGUUA